UACGGAGGGUGCGAGCGUUGUCCGGAAUCACUGGGCGUAAAGGGCGCGUAGGCGGCCUGAUAAGUAGGGGGUGAAAUCCUGCGGCUUAACCGCAGGGCUGCCUUCUAAACUGUCGGGCUCGAGCACAGUAGAGGCAGGUGGAAUUCCCGGUGUAGCGGUGGAAUGCGUAGAGAUCGGGAAGAACAUCAGUGGCGAAGGCGGCCUGCUGGGCUGUUGCUGACGCUGAGGCGCGACAGCGGUGGGGGAGCAAACAGG
rnacentral:rRNA from 1 species